UACGAGGGGGGCGAGCGUUGUUCGGAAUUAUUGGGCGUAAAGGGUGCGUAGGCGGCCUGACAAGUCUGAUGUGAAAUCCCUGGGCUCAACCCAGGGCCUGCAUCGGAAACUGUCGGGCUUAAGUAUGGGAGAGGUGAGUGGAAUUUCCGGUGUAGCGGUGAAAUGCGUAGAUAUCGGAAGGAACACCUGUGGCGAAAGCGGCUCACUGGACCAUUACUGACGCUGAGGCACGAAAGCUAGGGGAGCAAACAGG
rnacentral:rRNA from 1 species